CCCUUGUCUUGGGGAUCCAUGUGAAAAUGAUGGAUUAUGCAAGGAGAUAUCAGACAGUGCUAACAGCACUUUUAGCUUUAUCUGUGAAUGUCAAGAGCCAUAUGUGGGAAAUACAUGUGAAAACAUAAAGGAAGCAGAAACACCACCACCAGCAGGCCCAAAUCCAGUGUAUAUCGCUAUUGGAGUUUCUGUGUCUCUUACCGUCAUUAUUAUCGUCAUCAGCCUCAUUGUAUGGCACUUCAGAUGCAGAAAGAAUAAAAAAGACCAGAGUGCUCAAAGAAUUCUUGGCAGUAACAACAGUAUCAGCUAGAAAAAAAAAAAACGGCGAAACUGUGAGCAAGACUUUCAUAAAAAAAAAAAAGAGUACCACAACUCGAGGACAGAUGUGCAAUAAAUGCUUUA